rnacentral:tRNA from 1 species
CGGGCCGUGGCGCAGCUUGGUAGCGCGUCCGUCUGGGGGACGGAAGGUCGUGAGUUCGAAUCUCGCCGGCCCGACCA